UCUAAGUGGAAUGUCUUUGAGGUUA
rnacentral:piRNA from 1 species